GAGGAUAGCUGGGAACAUCCUGCGGUGAGCCGGAUCCAGCUGGUCCAGGAUGCCAUAGGACCACACAGCCAGCUUUUUAUGGCAACACUGACACUCCAGGUGUGGUAAGAAUGAUUUCUCACCAGAAGUGGAUCCUCAAGAGCAGCGAUGUCUGGCUAUACAGCUGCACUCCAGAAGGGUCCUGGAUGCAACCACUCUUCCACCGUUUUUCCCUCUGCUGUGGCUCCUCACCCUUGUGUGCCCAAACUCUUUCUGGGCUGCCCAUAUCGACUGUACAUGUACUCUCUUUGUGCAGUUUGCUGGGGAUGGGGCAGAGCAGAGAAGCAGAGAGAGCGGCAGCUGGCAGAGCAGAUGUUGGCAGUGUUGGUGCAAGGUGAAGAGGUUGUUACCCAGGUCGUAUGGCCUGACCUGACAUGUCAGGGUUGACGACAAAGGGGAAGGUGGAAGUCCUGUCCCAGGCUCACCAUGCAUCUGAAUCUGAGAACUGCAUGAAUGCAUUGCAAAAUUACACUUACAACUGGAUGUGGCCCGCUGAUCUCAAAAAGUUGAAUCCUGGUCCUUCCCCUCAGUACAGGGCAGUUCCUGAUAAGGUCAAACCCUGGAGUCCCGUCUGCACACAUACAAGCAGAUAGAAGAUCAGUAAUGAUGGAUGAAAAUAUCCUCCAAGUAAUUGCAUGGUAAAGGAUGCUUGCAAACAUACCUCUUCUUUGGGCUCAGAUGGCAGGUCCUGAAAGGACUGAGACGAUGACGGUACAUCCUGAGACAAGCAUAUUGCUUCCUUGGUGGACAUCAAAGAAAAAAGGGAUAUGGUGAGGUCCUGCUCCUCUUCCUC